ensembl:snoRNA small nucleolar RNA SNORA21
UUCCCUUUAAAAGCACUCACUGGGUCUCUUUUUAAUGACACAUUGAGCCUUCAAGAAGGGCAGAAUGCAAACACCACCCUUGGGUGAAGUGGUAGCAUGGAGUAUUGUUUUCCUGAAAUUGGUGGGAUGACAAGA